rnacentral:tRNA from 2 species
CGGGGUGUAGCGCAGUCAGGUCAGCGCGCUCGGUUCGGGGCCGAGAGGUCGUGAGUUCAAAUCUCACCACCCCGACCA